GAAAUUAUAGUCAACAAUGAUAUUUGGGUUGCAUUCAAAAGGUGCCCUUUCGGGGCUGAUUUUG
rnacentral:tRNA from 1 species